rnacentral:rRNA from 1 species
UACGUAGGGUGCGAGCGUUAAUCGGAAUUACUGGGCGUAAAGCGUGCGCAGGCGGUUCGUUAAGACAGAUGUGAAAUCCCCGGGCUUAACCUGGGAACUGCAUUUGUGACUGGCGAGCUAGAGUAUGGCAGAGGGGGGUAGAAUUCCACGUGUAGCAGUGAAAUGCGUAGAGAUGUGGAGGAAUACCGAUGGCGAAGGCAGCCCCCUGGGCCAAUACUGACGCUUAUGCACGAAAGCGUGGGGAGCAAACAGG